UACAGGGGGGGCAAGCGUUGUUCGGAAUUACUGGGCGUAAAGGGCUCGUAGGCGGCCAACUAAGUCCGACGUGAAAUCCCUAGGCUCAACCUAGGAACUGCGUCUGAUACUGGAUGGCUUGAAUCCGGGAGAGGGAUGCAGAAUUCCAGGUGUAGCGGUGAAAUGCGUAGAUAUCUGGAGGAAUACCGGUGGCGAAGGCGGCAUCCUGGACCGGCAUUGACGCUGAGGAGCGAAAGCCAGGGGAGCAAACGGG
rnacentral:rRNA from 1 species